rnacentral:rRNA from 1 species
AUUGAACGCUGGCGGCAGGCCUAACACAUGCAAGUCGAACGAGUGGCGGACGGGUGAGUAAUGUCUUGGAAACUGCCCGAUGUAGGGGGAUAACUACUGGAAACGGUAGCUAAUACCGCAUACCAUCCGAUGGGCCCAGAUGGGAUUAGCUAGUAGGUGGGGUAACGGCUCACCUAGGCGACGAUCCCUAGCUGGUCUGAGAGGAUGACCAGCCACACUGGGACUGAGACACGGUCCAGACUCCUACGGGAGGCAGCAGUGGGGAAUAUUGCACAAUGGGCGAAAGCCUGAUGCAGCCACGCCGCGUGUAUGAAGAAGGCCUUCGGGUUGUAAAGUACUUUCAGCGAGGAGGCGUUACUUGAAGAAGAAGCAACGGCUAACUCCGUGCCAGCAGCCGCGGUAAUUC